rnacentral:rRNA from 1 species
UACGUAGGGUGCGAGCGUUGCCCGGAUUUACUGGGCGUAAAGGGCGCGUAGGCGGCGCAACAAGUCACUUGUGAAAUCUCCGGGCUUAACCCGGAGCGGUCAAGUGAUACUGUCGUGCUAGAGUGCGGAAGGGGCUACUGGAAUUCUCGGUGUAGCGGUGAAAUGCGCAGAUAUCGGGAGGAACACCGGUGGCGAAGGCGGGUCUCUGGGCCGAUACUGACGCUGAGGAGCGAAAGCGUGGGGAGCGAACAGG